GCGUGAGCAGGACGCCGCAGUAAUGUUAGUCAGAGGGGCAGAUCUGUUAACACGGGUGAGGGGAUUGUACAUAAGCGUGGACAUCAGCAGUGAGGAUGAGGCAAUGGCAGCUCCUACACACUGCAUGACCACCCUGAUUGCACCCACCUCCACCCUCCUCUCCAUGUUGAAGCCAACGUGCUGUAAAAUAUUACAGCCUACACAUGGUCUCUUCCUCCACUAGUGACAACACUGCAAAGCCCGAAAAUAAAGACAAUACUGCUCUGAUGAGAUCCCAGAUCAGGGGUAGGAAUCAGAACCAAAAGCUUGCUGCCGGGUUGCAAUGACAACCAUUGAGAUUGGACCAGCAUUGUAUGAUGUCAGAGGUCAAGUGAAGGAGGUCAAGCGAUGUUGGGUGUUUUUGGAACAGAUCUGAGAAACAGGUUUAAAUGGACACUUCAAGAGAUUCAUCUGGAUAACUGAGAGACCAUCAGGAUCCAGCACGACUUUUAUCAUCGAAAAUCCACUGCAAGGAUUCUCACCACCAGGAAACAAGUUUGACUUUCUUUUCCUUCACAUUUAUUGGAUAUAUAAUUGACCUAAUUUAUUGCAUUGAACUCAUCAUUUUUGUCACCUUGCCACACCUUUUUAAAUUUUUUAUUUUGGAAUUUUAUAUUUUUUAUUGCACGUGCAUUUUUAUGAUUAGCAUUUUUUGAUUAUCAACCUCAUUAGCUUGAAACACAUAGGAAUUAUUGUCGAAUGGAACAUUGUUAUUUGUUUUAUUUGUAUUGCAUUCACUUGCCAAUUAGUGGCACACUGAAUUAACACACAGACUCCUUUCAUUCUCACUAACCCAUUGCAUACAAGAAGGCAAGAAACUACGUUGGUAGUAAUCACUAGCUGAUGUAAGACAUUCAGAAACGCAUAUCUACUAUUGACAUAACAGAAUUCAGCUCUUUAUUAUGCUUGUUGUUUUUAGAAGAGAUUGUUUAUAACAUUGUGGAUCCACAAUUUUAACUUUUUGUAAUAAAUUAUUUGCAAUUUUAUAGAA